CUCUAGUCCAAACGCGAAGAGAACUGCACAACAGUACUCACAAGCAUUGGUCACCGAGAAACUGUUGGAAGACUCGAGGUUAUCGACAUGUGGGUGCCUGAGAAAAUGUGAUAUGGAAUGUCCAUGCUGUACCUGAAACCAGAAGGAUAUUAAAGGAAUUCUGGAAGAAAGCUAGUGACAGCAAUCAAAUUGCAUGGAUGCAGACCGAGUUGCUGAAUGUUUCCAGCAUUUUGUUUUUACUUCAUGAAUAAUUGUCAGUUGAUGCUGCCAGAAAGUGUCUGCUGGUUCUUCCAAAUCCAAAGGAAAAACAAGACACAGAUUAACAAUA